UGGGGAAUAUUGCACAAUGGGCGAAAGCCUGAUGCAGCAACGCCGCGUGAGUGAUGAAGGCCCUCGGGUUGUAAAGCUCUGUCUUUUGGGACGAUAAUGACGGUACCAAAGGAGGAAGCCACGGCUAACUACGUGCCAGCAGCCGCGGUAAUACGUAGGUGGCAAGCGUUGUCCGGAUUUACUGGGCGUAAAGGAUGCGUAGGCGGAUUUUUAAGUGAGAUGUGAAAUACCCGGGCUUAACUUGGGUGCUGCAUUUCAAACUGGGAAUCUAGAGUGCGGGAGAGGAGAAUGGAAUUCCUAGUGUAGCGGUGAAAUGCGUAGAGAUUAGGAAGAACACCAGUGGCGAAGGCGAUUCUCUGGACCGUAACUGACGCUGAGGCAUGAAAGCGUGGGUAGCAAAACAGGAUUAGAUACCCUGGUAGUCCACGCCGUAAACGAUGAGUACUAGGUGUAGGAGGUAUCGACCCCUUCUGUGCCGCAGUUAACACAAUCAAGUACUCCGCCUGGGAAGUACGAUCGCAAGAUUAAAACUCAAAGGAAUUGACGGGGUCAAUAGC
rnacentral:rRNA from 1 species